AAAAUAUUGAAACUGUAUAGAGCAGGAAGUGUCUUUUUAAUUACUGUUAGUGGUGCUGGGCAAACGGUGAUCGCUUCUGAAUCGAGAAAUGAAGCUUGAUGAAAUACUGCUGCUCGCUGCCUUCACUGAUUCAAGAUCGUUCAGCGGCUAUCAUUGGCCAAUCUUACCAACGGGAUGUAAUAAGAACUGAUGCAGGUUUAUAUCUAUAUGUAUGUGUUCAAGAUUAACUUCGAUCCACCCAUGCAAGGAAAAAUAAGUUAUAGGAGAUAAAUCAAAUUCCCUUCUCUUGUAGCAGUAGUUACGGCGUGGUUAGCGAAUAUAGCGGACUGCGUCAUUAUAACGUCAAUUAACAGCAAAGCGAGUUAAAAUAAAAGGAAAAAAAGU